rnacentral:rRNA from 1 species
UACGUAGGGUGCAAGCGUUGUCCGGAAUCAUUGGGCGUAAAGCGCGCGUAGGUGGUCAUGUAAGUCCGCUGUGAAAGUCAAAGGCUCAACCUUUGAAAGCCGGUGGAUACUGCAUGACUAGAGUACGGAAGAGGCGAGUGGAAUUCCUGGUGUAGCGGUGGAAUGCGCAGAUAUCGGGAGGAACACCCGUAGCGAAGGCGGCACUCUGGGCCGGAACUGACGCUGAGGAGCAAAAGCGUGGGGAGCAAACAGG